AUUAAACGCUGGCGGCAUGCCUUACACAUGCAAGUCGAACGGCAGCACGGGGUGGUAACACUCUGGUGGCGAGUGGCGGACGGGUGAGUAAAGCAUCGGAACGUGCCCUGGAAUGGGGGAUAACGUAGCGAAAGUUACGCUAAUACCGCAUAUUCUGUGAGCAGGAAAGCAGGGGAUCGCAAGACCUUGCGUUCGAGGAGCGGCCGAUGUCGGAUUAGCUAGUUGGUGGGGUAAAGGCCUACCAAGGCGACGAUCCGUAGCGGGUCUGAGAGGAUGAUCCGCCACACUGGGACUGAGACACGGCCCAGACUCCUACGGGAGGCAGCAGUGGGGAAUUUUGGACAAUGGGCGCAAGCCUGAUCCAGCCAUGCCGCGUGAGUGAAGAAGGCCUCGG
rnacentral:rRNA from 1 species